rnacentral:tRNA from 1 species
GCGGGCGUGGCGGAAUCGGUAGACGCAGCGGACUCAAAAUCCGCCAUUCGCAAGGAUAUGUCGGUUCGAGUCCGACCGCCCGCACCA